rnacentral:rRNA from 1 species
GACGAACGCUGGCGGCGUGCCUAAUACAUGCAAGUCGAGCGGACUAACGGGAGCUUGCUCCCGUUAGUUAGCGGCGGACGGGUGAGUAACACGUGGGCAACCUACCUGUAAGACUGGGAUAACUUCGGGAAACCGGAGCUAAUACCGGAUGACAUAAAGGAACUCCUGUUCCUUUAUUGAAAGGUGGCCUCGGCUAUCACUUACAGAUGGGCCCGCGGCGCAUUAGCUAGUUGGUGAGGUAACGGCUCACCAAGGCGCCGAUGCGUAGCCGACCUGAGCGGGUGAUCGGCCACACUGGGACUGAGACACGGCCCAGACUCCUACGGGAGGCAGCAGUAGGGAAUCUUCCGCAAUGGACGAAAGUCUGACGGAGCAACGCCGCGUGAGCGAUGAAGGCCUUCGGGUCGUAAAGCUCUGUUGUUAGGGAAGAAUAAGUGCUAGUUGAAUAAGCUGGCACCUUGACGGUACCUAACCAGAAAGCCACGGCUAACUACGUGCCAGCCGCCGCGGUAACAC